rnacentral:rRNA from 1 species
GACGAAGGGGGCUAGCGUUGUUCGGAAUUACUGGGCGUAAAGCGCGUGUAGGCGGUUGUCCAAGUUGGAUGUGAAAGCCUUGAGCUUAACUCAAGAAAUGCAUUCAGGACUGGAUGACUAGAGGACCGGAGAGGAUAGUGGAAUUCCCAGUGUAGUGGUGAAAUACGUAGAGAUUGGGAAGAACACCAGUGGCGAAGGCGGCUAUCUGGACGGUUUCUGACGCUAAGACGCAAAAGCGUGGGGAGCAAACAGG